UUUGCUCAAUGUUUUGAAUAUUAGGAUGGAUAAAAUGCAAAACAAAAUUAGAUCAAUGCAUCUACAUCAGUAAAAUCCAAAUUCGUUAACGAAUCCUGCAAGUUCUGGAAUGGUUCAAGAAGCAUCCCAGGCUGUUGACAACUGUACCAUCCAUCCCCUCAAGGUUUGUAAUGACUCCUUUAAUUUGUUCUCUACAUUGGCCAAACUAAAGUUAUCUUAGAUCCUGAGACUAACAUUUGAUAAUAAGCCGUAACCACCAAGUUUGAUACACAACUUGAACUUUGUAUACAUGAAUCCUAAUAAUGUGGUUCAGGUAAAUCCUUAAUGGCAUGAACUGAUUUUGCCUUGUAAUUAAGCAGAAGUGUCACCAUAAAACCUGCAGGACACACAUCACCUAGCAAAGUGCACUCAUCAAGAAGUAUGAGGACUUUAUGUGCCUUGUAAUCAAAUGUGAUCCCUAUUAUGAAGAUAGACGCAUCCUCCUUUUCAAAUACACUUUUAAGCAAAUUACACAUAUAAGGUGUCUCGGUUAGGAAUGAAAGACACUGUCAACAAGUUAUGAAAUGAACUAUCUGAUGUUGAAAUGGUGACUGACUAGAAUAAGUUGGCAAAUUCAUGACUGGAGGCGACUCUCCAAACAGAAACCACAUCAACGGUAGUAGAGAAGCCAAAGACAAUACCGUGAAACAUAAAUAUAAGUAGUCUGAAUAAGAAAGAUAGAGCCAUACCCAAAGGUAAUUAAAGAUAACUUGCACCUAUAAACCCAACUAAAGACACAGCAAUUUCUAAGUUUUUGUAAUCUAAUUAGCAUUACCUAGAGUUCAUUCAAUAGGAAAUUCUAGCCAACCCAAAUAGAAGGAAUCCUGAAUUUCAUGGAAUCACCUAAUAGUACGUUGUUGGACUUCAGGUCUCAAUGGCUUAUGGUAAGGUGAGAACUGAAAUACAGAUAUGUCAGCUUGCGAGCAAAGCCAAUCGCAAGAGCACCCAAAAAGAGCAAAACCAAAGAACAUAGCACAGAGGUUAAAGAGGGCAACUCGGAAUAGAUCGACAUUGAAUCAACGGCAAAAGAAAACAACGAAUGUAAAACAAACUCGAUUCUUCUGAAACAAGGAAAGCAAAGAAAAUAAGAAGAAUAAACAUGGACGGUUUGUCCAUAACAAAAGUUGGAAGCCAAAGCAAAGAGAAGAUAAUUAUCUGGUUUGGCGAAAUUUUUAUCCUUCAAGGCCUGUAAUCACUUUGAUGGUGCUGGAUUGUGAUAUGUUCUUGAAAAUACUUGGCUGCAAAGAAGGAGGGAGGCGAUAUGCAUAAAACAAACAUUCCAACAUCUCAUUAUUAGAGAUCAUAACUUGUACUUGUGAGCUUUGUCAUUUUCCUAUAUGUAUAAUAAAUCCAUGUCUCAAUGCCUAUAAUCAACCUCGGUAACUGGUCUAGAGACAUACCCGAUUGUGUUUCAGGUAGCCAAAAAACUUUGGAAACAAAGCAUCAGUUAACAUUCUAAAGUGGAAUGAUAGAAUAUAGGUGAGUAGGCAGCAACUGAUGGGGAGAACAGCUAACACAAACAUGAAUAUAUGCAGCUGGAAUUUACCAUAUGGCCAAAUAAAUAAAAAUCGUGUUUGUGUUAGAUAGAUGUUAAAGAAUAAAAUGACCACCCACCAAGCUUCCUAAACAUUACAUUCCCCUUUUGUUAUAAUUCAAAGUGGAUAAUGCACCAUAAAAUUGAAGAAGAUACUAUAAGCCUCUAGCUUGAAUUUGGCAGAGGUAAGUUUUAUUCAUGAAAGUGAUUAACAUAGGGGCAAAACUUAUUACCUCCUUCCCUCCAUAAUCACUAAACCAAGCUAGUUAUAUGAUUCAUAUACAUUAAAAUAUAUGAGCAAGAGAAAGGUAUGAAACUGAAAACAACACCUGAGAUUAUUAGUAGCUGAAAUUGUAAAACAACAAAGAACAAAUUAAAAAAAAACCUCAUAAGAACAGUAUUUAUGACAGCAAACUAAAACUGGAACCAAGAACCCAUCCCAAUAAAGGAGCAGUGACCUGAGCAAAUCUCAUAAGGACUAAGAAUGCAUAACUCAUAAGAAGAAGGAUAUUAAUUUUUUUUGUCUCUAACCAGAGCUAAGGUUUUGCAUGCUAAAAUAUUAAUAUAACAUUAUUGCAGAUUCAGACGGAAGCAAAAUAGAAACAGGGGCUACAUACAUUUCCUCACAUGGAUCACAUGUAAGAUGGUUGAAGCCCGAACUCUUGGGAUUUUAAAUUGAUUCUAGGAAUUUGCUUUCCAACUUUCUUACUACGGGGACAUCUCGAUUGGGAGGGAUUUCAAAUCAACAAACUCAGAUUGUGGAUUGUGAUGCAUGAAGGGGUGCCGAGACUAUAUAUGAUUUUUGGAAUAUGAAAUCACACAUUUGAUUCACAGCCAAAAGA
rnacentral:lncRNA from 1 species